rnacentral:rRNA from 1 species
UAAGACGGAGGGUGCAAGCGUUGUUCGGAUUUACUGGGCGUAAAGGGCGUGUAGGCGGAUUUGCAAGCCGGGGGUGAAAGGCCUGGGCUCAACCCAGGACGGUCUUCCGGAACUGCAUCUCUUGAGAGAGUCAGAGGCAGGUGGAAUUCCAGGUGUAGAGGUGAAAUUCGUAGAUAUCUGGAGGAACACCGGCGGCGAAGGCGGCCUGCUGGGGCUCUUCUGACGCUGAGGCGCGAAAGCGUGGGUAGCAAACAGGAUUAGAUACCCUGGUAGUCCACGCUGUAAACGAUGAGCACUAGAUGUGCGCGGUACGACCCCGCGUGUGUCGCAGCUAACGCGAUAAGUGCUCCGCCUGGGGACUACGGUCGCAAGACUA